CCUACGGGUGGCAGCAGUGAGGAAUAUUGGUCAAUGGACGAGAGUCUGAACCAGCCAAGUAGCGUGAAGGAUGACUGCCCUAUGGGUUGUAAACUUCUUUUAUAUGGGAAUAAAAUGUUCCACGUGUGGGAUUUUGUAUGUCCCAUAUGAAUAAGGAUCGGCUAACUCCGUGCCAGCAGCCGCGGUAAUACGGAGGAUCCGAGCGUUAUCCGGAUUUAUUGGGUUUAAAGGGAGCGUAGGUGGAUUGUUAAGUCAGUUGUGAAAGUUUGCGGCUCAACCGUAAAAUUGCAGUUGAAACUGGCAGUCUUGAGUACAGUAGAGGUGGGCGGAAUUCGUGGUGUAGCGGUGAAAUGCUUAGAUAUCACGAAGAACUCCGAUUGCGAAGGCAGUUCACUGGACUGCAACUGACACUGAGGCUCGAAAGUGUGGGUAUCAAACAGGAUUAGAUACCCUUGUAGUC
rnacentral:rRNA from 1 species